rnacentral:lncRNA from 1 species
UGCGUUAUAACUAUUUUGUACAUUCUUUGAGGUUUGAAGUGAUUGGAGUAUUAUUAUUAAUAAUAUUUUGUCAAAAUAAAGUCACAUGAGCCUACAUGAAAUGACUACGGGGUCACUUGAUGCAUUGAAGCAACGUGUAAAUGAUAUGGAAUAAAAGCUUGAAGAGAACAAAAUAUUACAUUGUUCCGUGUGCAUUGUUCCGUGUUAGGUGUAAUAGCUCACGUCUUGGAAGCUAUUCUCGUCUUUGUUUGUGCAUAUAAUUUAAAACCUUCCCCGACUUUAUGGGGGCCAGCGAUGCGCUCCGGACAGAUGUGGAACAGUGAUAAGUCGAUCUGUCAAUUAACUUGGAGCAUAGACCUGUGAAGAUUGGGGCGUCUUUGAAUAAAAUUUCUCCUUAUCAAAAAGUUACAUACCUAAAAAACCAAUAUGUCAAACUACCUUUGUUGAUAACUUUGUUGAUAGCGAAGACGCUCUUAAGAGCUAAUCAAAUCUCCCAUUGCAAAUGACUCUUCCCCGACUUUAUAGGGGUCGAAAAUGCGCCUCGGUCGGAUAUGGAACAGUGAUAAAUCGGUCUGCCGAUCGACUUGGGGAAAUCCGAAGAUGACAAAGAAGUUUCAAAUUUAGGUAUGUAAAUUGGGGAAAUCCGAAGAUGACAAAGAAGUUUUAAAUUUAGGUAUAUAAAUUUCUGAUAAGGGAAAAUUUUAUUUAAAGAUCUUGGUUGGGGACAUCAUUUUUCUUUUUCAGAAAUCUACAAGUUUGUUGAAGAGAAAGAUAUAAGUGGUGUUAUUUAUAUUAAUGGAUUCAAGAGUGGGGGAGUCGGGAGAGUAGAGAAAUAGGUAAAGCUAGGCAAGUAAAACAUGGAGGAGAGAUAAAUAUAAUAGAAUAAUACUGACUCAGCAUGUUUUAUUCACUUUUUACUCUUUUUCAGUUUUUUACUUGUUGGUAAUUAAUGACAUAGCAGUGCCUUUAAUUUUACGCCAAUGCGUUUUCGAUCUCCCAUUGGUUGUACACCUAUCCUUAUUACAAAAUUAUGUUUGACUCGACAUUAUUCUUAUUUUACGUAAAAUUAGAGAAUGAGAAAGAUAGAAGUGGUUGUAUUUUAAGCACAUUUUUCUCCCCAUUCUUGAAUCUAUUAAUA